rnacentral:rRNA from 1 species
CUGAUGCAGCGACGCCGCGUGAGGGAUGACGGCCUUCGGGUUGUAAACCUCUUUCAGCAGGGACGAAGCGAAAGUGACGGUACCUGCAGAAGAAGCACCGGCCAACUACGUGCCAGCAGCCGCGGUAAUACGUAGGGUGCGAGCGUUGUCCGGAAUUACUGGGCGUAAAGAGCUCGUAGGCGGUUUGUCGCGUCGUCUGUGAAAACCAGCAGCUCAACUGCUGGCUUGCAGGCGAUACGGGCAGACUUGAGUACUGCAGGGGAGACUGGAAUUCCUGGUGUAGCGGUGAAAUGCGCAGAUAUCAGGAGGAACACCGGUGGCGAAGGCGGGUCUCUGGGCAGUAACUGACGCUGAGGAGCGAAAGCGUGGGUAGCGAACAGGAUUAGAUACCCUGGUAGUCCACGCCGUAAACGGUGGGCGCUAGGUGUGGGUUUCCUUCCACGGGAUCCGUGCCGUAGCUAACGCAUUAAGCGCCCCGCCGGGGGAGUACGGCCGCAAGGCUAAAACUCAAAGGAAUUGACGGGGGCCCGCACAAGCGGCGGAGCAUGUGGAUUAAUUCGAUGCAACGCGAAAAACCUUACCUGGGUUUGACAUAUACCGGAAAGCCGUAGAGAUACGGCCCCCCUUGUGGUCGG